GUGGCUUGUCACCAGGCCCCAGGUUGGCCUGGGCUCCCUGGGACGAGCUUGGGGUGGGGCCGUGGGAGCCGUGGCCUGUCCUGCGGGAGGUGACCCAGGUUCUGGAAGUGUCUCCGCUGUCUUCCUGCUCAGGUUGGACCCGUCUCCCAGACAGUGAUUGCAUCAUUGAAGGCAUCUGAUGAGCCAGAAAAGAAGACAUUUCUCAACUGCUGUAACUCAGCCGGAAUCCUGGCCUCCAUGCACAGGGAGACGUACAGUGACGUGGCAGAUGUUGGCUGCCUACCCAACAGCCAUCCCCUUCCCUGGUCCACACUUCCACGUUCUUUCUGGCUAAAUAGAACCCAGUUCUGUUCAGGAGUCAAGUGACAUGUGUUUCAUGGCAGGUGGGGCCCAGGCCCUGGCCUCAGUCCCAGGGAGGGAUCCUGACUGACCUAAACAAGGGGUUUUCAACCCCGAGUACACAUUAGAGUGUCUGAGAAAAUUUUAAAGAUACCCAUGAAUGGGGGCUGGCCCCGUGGCUGAGUGGUUAAGUUCACGCACUCCGCUGCAGGCGGCCCAGUGUUUCGUCGGUUUGAAUCCUGGGCGCGGACAUGGCACUGCUCAUCAAGCCACACUGAGGUGGCGUUCCACGUGCCACAACUAGAAGGACCCACAACUAAAAAUAUACAACUAUGUACCGGGGGGCUUUGGGGAGAAAAAGGAAAAAAAAAUAAAAUCUUUAAAAAAAAAAAGAUACCCAUGAAUGGAUCCCAUCUGGGGUCAGUUAAAGCAGAGUCUGUGGGGCUGGGACCUUGGUGUACUUACUUUUUCUUUAAGCUCCCCAGGUGAGUCUAAUGUGCAGCCACACUUAAGAAUCAAACAUUCACAGUAAUAAUUCCAUUCUCCUUGCCAGUGACUGACUUGAGAAUGAACAGAAGGCAUGGUUAUGGCACAAAAGGAGACAUAAAAGGAAGUCUGCCCCAUUAUUCUUCACGAGGGACAUGAGGAAAAGAUACGUGUUCUUCUGACCUUCUGACUUUCGGACAUUGUUGUGUGAGAUUGAUGGCAGCCAUCUUGUCACCAUGAGGGGCAAGCUUUCAAAGGUUACUCUGCUGACAAUGGCAGAGCAAAAACAUGGCAAGACCCUGGGUUCAACUUGCCAUUGAAGUCUUGCAUUUGAUAUAGAACUGCUAAGUUCACCAACUCUGGAGCCACCUCAAUCUCUGGACUUCUGGCGAUGUGAGAUAGUAAAUAUUCUUUACUGCUUAAAUCAC
rnacentral:lncRNA from 1 species